rnacentral:rRNA from 1 species
ACCUGAUCAGCCAUGCCGCGUGUGUGAAGAAGGCCUUUUGGUUGUAAAGCACUUUAAGCAGUGAAGAAGACUCCAUGGGUUAAUACCCAUGGACGAUGACAUUAGCUGCAGAAUAAGCACCGGCUAACUCUGUGCCAGCAGCCGCGGUAAUACAGAGGGUGCAAGCGUUAAUCGGAAUUACUGGGCGUAAAGCGAGCGUAGGUGGCUUAAUAAGUCAGAUGUGAAAGCCCCGGGCUUAACCUGGGAACGGCAUCUGAUACUGUUAGGCUAGAGUAGGUGAGAGGAAGGUAGAAUUCCAGGUGUAGCGGUGAAAUGCGUAGAGAUCUGGAGGAAUACCGAUGGCGAAGGCAGCCUUCUGGCAUCAUACUGACACUGAGGUUCGAAAGCGUGGGUAGCAAACAGGAUUAGAUACCCUGGUAGUCCACGCCGUAAACGAUGUCUACUAGUCGUUGGGUCCCUUGAGGACUUAGUGACGCAGCUAACGCAAUAAGUAGACCGCCUGGGGAGUACGGCCGCAAGGUUAAAACUCAAAUGAAUUGACGGGGGCCCGCACAAGCGGUGGAGCAUGUGGUUUAAUUCGAUGCAACGCGAAGAACCUUACCUGGUCUUGACAUAUCUAGAAUCCUGCAGAGAUGCGGGAGUGCCUUCGGGAAUUAGAAUACAGGUGCUGCAUGGCUGUCGUCAGCUCGUGUCGUGAGAUGUUGGGUUAAGUCCCGCAACGAGCGCAACCCUUGUCCUUAGUUACCAGCGGUUUGGCCGGGAACUCUAAGGAUACUGCCAGUGACAAACUGGAGGAAGGCGGGGACGACGUCAAGUCAUCAUGGCCCUUACGACCAGGGCUACACACGUGCUACAAUGGUAGGUACAGAGGGCAGCUACACAGCGAUGUGAUGCGAAUCUCAAAAAGCCUAUCGUAGUCCAGAUUGGAGUCUGCAACUCGACUCCAUGAAGUAGGAAUCGCUAGUAAUCGCGGAUCAAAAUGCCGCGGUGAAUACGUUCCCGGGCCUUGUACACACCGCCCGUCACACCAUGGGGAGUUGAUUGCACCAGAAGUGGUUAGCCUAACCUUUUAGGAAGGCGAUCACCACGGGGUGGUUGAUGACUGGGUGAAUCGUAA